UGUGCUGUUGUGUGCUGCCCUGCAGUGGUGAAGCAACCCUUCCUGAAACAUUUCUUCAGCAUUUUUGUGAGCCCAGGGUAAUGUUCUUUUUGCUCUGUCAACAGAAAGGAAAAGUUUCAGAACAGAAGGCAAGACUGAAACAGAGGCACAACAGACACAUUCUCUACCUGUGCUAAUGAUUGCUCAAUUGCCUGCAGUCCAGAAGGCAGUCAGGAAAGAACAACACUGAAAGCAUUUACUUUCAACUUUCCUUGAGGAGAAAACUAGGAACCUGUAACAGAGCCAGACAUUUGAUGAAUAACCCUUUGCAGAAGAACUGUAAUAUCCAAGCUCUCCCCGCUUCAGGUCAAUAAACAAAAGGCAAUGUCAGAUCAAACCCAACAGUUUCAACGUAUCAUUUAAACUGUGAUGAAAAACUAAAUAUAUCAGAAAUUGAUUUUGCAAACUAAACUUCUACAACUUUGAAUGGAUACAAUGUUGGUGUCUUCUUGGGUUUAUCUGUCUUCUCAAAUAUGGAUUUUUUUUUUUUUUUACAAAGUUUCAGUAAAAUCUUUGUAAAUAAAAGCACUUAGAUUUGCAC